rnacentral:miRNA from 1 species
GGAUGAAAUUGAGAGAGAGCAUGAGAGGGGAGGAUGGAAGGGAGAAGUAAUAAAAGUGAAAACAAAAACUUGAAAGUGAAAACAAUUUCAAGUAGAUUUCAAUUUUUAAAUUUUUAAAUUUUGUUUUCACUUUUGCUACUCCUCCCUCCCAUCUUCCCUCUCAAUCUCAUCUCCAUUUUCAUUCU